CCUACGGGCGGCUGCAGUGGGGAAUAUUGCACAAUGGGCGCAAGCCUGAUGCAGCCAUGCCGCGUGUGUGAAGAAGGCCUUCGGGUUGUAAAGCACUUUCAGCGGGGAGGAAGGCGUUAAGGUUAAUAACCUUGGCGAUUGACGUUACACGCAGAAGAAGCACCGGCUAACUCCGUGCCAGCAGCCGCGGUAAUACGGAGGGUGCAAGCGUUAAUCGGAAUUACUGGGCGUAAAGCGCACGCAGGCGGUCUGUCAAGUCGGAUGUGAAAUCCCCGGGCUCAACCUGGGAACUGCAUUCGAAACUGGCAGGCUAGAGUCUUGUAGAGGGGGGUAGAAUUCCAGGUGGAGCGGUGAAAUGCGUAGAGAUCUGGAGGAAUACCGGUGGCGAAGGCGGCCCCCUGGACAAAGACUGACGCUCAGGUGCGAAAGCGUGGGGAGCAAACAGGAUUAGAUACCCGAGUAGUC
rnacentral:rRNA from 1 species